ACUCAAAUGAAUUGACGGGGGCCCGCACAAGCGGUGGAACAUGUGGUUUAAUUCGAUGCAACGCGAAGAACCUUAUCCUGGACUUGACAUCUACGGAAUCUUGCAGAAAUGCAGGAGUGCCUUCGGGAAUCGUAAGACAGGUGGUGCAUGGUUGUCGUCAGCUCGUGUCGUGAGAUGUUGGGUUAAGUCCCGCAACGAGCGCAACCCUCGUCGUCUGUUGCUACAGGCUGAAAAGUGCUGAGAACUCAGGCGAGACUGCCGGUGACAAACCGGAGGAAGGUGGGGAUGACGUCAAAUCCUCAUGCCCCUUAUGUCCAGGGCUACACACGUGUUACAAUGGGACGGAACAACGGGCAGCCUGCCAGCGAUGGUUAGCCAAUCCCUUAAAUCCGCCCUCAGUUCGGAUUGGAGUCUGCAACUCGACUCCAUGAAGUCGGAAUCGCUAGUAAACGCGGAUCAGCAACGCCGCGUUGAAUACGUUCCCGGGCCUUGUACACACCGCCCGU
rnacentral:rRNA from 1 species